rnacentral:rRNA from 1 species
GUUGGGUAGGGGAGCGUUCUGUAAGCCUGUGAAGGUGUGUCGUGAGGCAUGCUGGAGGUAUCAGAAGUGCGAAUGCUGACAUAAGUAACGAUAAAGCGGGUGAAAAGCCCGCUCGCCGGAAGACCAAGGGUUCCUGUCCAACGUUAAUCGGGGCAGGGUGAGUCGACCCCUAAGGCGAGGCCGAAAGGCGUAGUCGAUGGGAAACGGGUUAAUAUUCCCGUACUUGGUGUUACUGCGAAGGGGGGACGGAGAAGGCUAUGUUGGCCGGGCGACGGUUGUCCCGGUUUAAGCGUGUAGG